rnacentral:ncRNA from 1 species
UGAACAGGGGUGCGUUUUUGCGCUGAGAAAUACCCUUAUCACCUGAUCUGGUUAGAACCAGCGUAGGGAGUUCA